GCCGGAGUAGCUCAGGGGUAGAGCGCAUCCUUGGUAAGGAUGAGGUCACGAGUUCAAUUCUCGUCUUUGGCU
rnacentral:tRNA from 2 species